rnacentral:rRNA from 1 species
AUACGUAGGUGGCGAGCGUUGUCCGGGAUUUACUGGGUGUAAAGGGCGUGUAGGCGGGCUGACAAGUCAGAUGUGAAAUACCGGGGCUUAACCCCGGGGCUGCAUUUGAAACUGUUGGUCUUGAGUGUGGGAGAGGAAAGCGGAAUUCCUGGUGUAGCGGUGAAAUGCGUAGAGAUUAGGAAGAACACCAGUGGCGAAGGCGAUUCUCUGGACUGUAACUGACGCUGAGGCUCGAAAGCGGUGGGGAGC